UUGGCUUGAGUCCCUGAGCAAAGCCACUGGGGAUGUUCCCCAAGGACUCUUGGGAACAAGAGUGUUCAGCUCAUGGGGCUAUCAUGGUCA
rnacentral:miRNA from 1 species